UGUGUGAUGGAUGGCAAUGUCUCACUCGUCUGACUCCUGCUGCUGUCACAUGCUCUGACUGA
rnacentral:snoRNA from 1 species